CACGAACAAAAUGUUAAUUCGUUAACUUAAGGAAAUAUAUUGAAAAUAUUAGCUAAGAAAUAAAGUGAAAUUAUAAUAUAUUAAUAGAAAUCCCUACUAUAAGAGCCUGAAAAUGUAAGGCUAUUGGAUCCUGCAGCCUGGCCCAAGAAGCUAAGGACACUAGGACCUUAGAAGAGGCAUCAUUUUCCAGCUCUGAGUUCUUCAUCCAAUUAUUCUUUCUCUCUCUAAACUCAGCUCCAUUUCUUCUUCUUGCUCUGACUUCUCUCUACUUUUCCACCACUUAGGUAGUGUGCUUUCGUUCACGGAGUUGAGAGCUUCCCAUUCAUCCAAUUAAAAUUCUGCUUUGGACGGAUCCUGUUGAACUUGCUUCUGUGCAAGAGUACUGUUUUGGGAUUUCUUCUAAAGAGUGUUGUGCUUGUAACCACUAAGGU
rnacentral:sRNA from 1 species